CGGCGGUGUGCCUAAUACAUGCAAGUCGUACGCACUGGCCCAACUGAUUGAUGGUGCUUGCACCUGAUUGACGAUGGAUCACCAGUGAGUGGCGGACGGGUGAGUAACACGUAGGUAACCUGCCCCGGAGCGGGGGAUAACAUUUGGAAACAGAUGCUAAUACCGCAUAACAACAAAAGCCGCAUGGCUUUUGUUUGAAAGAUGGCUUUGGCUAUCACUCUGGGAUGGACCUGCGGUGCAUUAGCUAGUUGGUAAGGUAACGGCUUACCAAGGCGAUGAUGCAUAGCCGAGUUGAGAGACUGAUCGGCCACAAUGGAACUGAGACACGGUCCAUACUCCUACGGGAGGCAGCAGUAGGGAAUCUUCCACAAUGGGCGCAAGCCUGAUGGAGCAACACCGCGUGAGUGAAGAAGGGUUUCGGCUCGUAAAGCUCUGUUGUUGGAGAAGAACGUGCGUGAGAGUAACUGUUCACGCAGUGACGGUAUCCAACCAGAAAGUCACGGCUAACUACGUGCCAGCAGCCGCGGUAAUACGUAGGUGGCAAGCGUUAUCCGGAUUUAUUGGGCGUAAAGCGAGCGCAGGCGGUUGCUUAGGUCUGAUGUGAAAGCCUUCGGCUUAACCGAAGAAGUGCAUCGGAAACCGGGCGACUUGAGUGCAGAAGAGGACAGUGGAACUCCAUGUGUAGCGGUGGAAUGCGUAGAUAUAUGGAAGAACACCAGUGGCGAAGGCGGCUGUCUGGUCUGCAACUGACGCUGAGGCUCGAAAGCAUGGGUAGCGAACAGGAUUAGAUACCCUGGUAGUCCAUGCCGUAAACGAUGAGUGCUAGGUGUUGGAGGGUUUCCGCCCUUCAGUGCCGGAGCUAACGCAUUAAGCACUCCGCCUGGGGAGUACGACCGCAAGGUUGAAACUCAAAGGAAUUGACGGGGGCCCGCACAAGCGGUGGAGCAUGUGGUUUAAUUCGAAGCUACGCGAAGAACCUUACCAGGUCUUGACAUCUUGCGCUAACCUUAGAGAUAAGGCGUUCCCUUCGGGGACGCAAUGACAGGUGGUGCAUGGUCGUCGUCAGCUCGUGUCGUGAGAUGUUGGGUUAAGUCCCGCAACGAGCGCAACCCUUGUUACUAGUUGCCAGCAUUGAGUUGGGCACUCUAGUGAGACUGCCGGUGACAAACCGGAGGAAGGUGGGGACGACGUCAGAUCAUCAUGCCCCUUAUGACCUGGGCUACACACGUGCUACAAUGGACGGUACAACGAGUCGCAAACUCGCGAGAGUAAGCUAAUCUCUUAAAGCCGUUCUCAGUUCGGACUGUAGGCUGCAACUCGCCUACACGAAGUCGGAAUCGCUAGUAAUCGCGGAUCAGCAUGCCGCGGUGAAUACGUUCCCGGGCCUUGUACACACCGCCCGUCACACCAUGGGAGUUUGUAACGCCCAAAGUCGGUGGCCUAACCUUUAUGGAGGGAGCCGCCUAAGGCGGGACAGAUGACUGGGGUG
rnacentral:rRNA from 2 species